rnacentral:rRNA from 1 species
CUACGGGAUGCACCAGUAGGGAAUAUUGGUCAAUGGACGCAAGUCUGAACCAGCCAUGCCGCGUGCAGGAUGACGGCCCUCUGGGUUGUAAACUGCUUUUAUAUGGGAAGAAACCUCGGGAUGCGUUCCGGGCUGACGGUACCAUACGAAUAAGGAUCGGCUAACUUCGUGCCAGCAGCCGCGGUAAGACGAAGGAUCCAAGCGUUGUCCGGAUUUACUGGGUUUAAAGGGUGCGUAGGCGGAUGCUUAAGCCAGUGGUGAAAUCUCUCAGCUCAACUGAGAAACUGCCAUUGGAACUGGGCAUCUCGAAUUCGAUUGAGGUAGAUGGAAUAUAACAUGUAGCGGUGAGAUGCUUAGAUAUGUUAUGGAACACCGAUUGCGAAGGCAGUCUACUAAGCCGAUAUUGACGCUGAGGCACGAAAGCGUGGGUAGCGAACAGGAUUAGAUACCCCGGUAGUC